GAUCAUGGCUCAGGAUGAACGCUGGCGGCGUGCUUAACACAUGCAAGUCGAGCGAAGCGGUUUCAAUGAAGUUUUCGGAUGGAUUUGAGAUUGACUUAGCGGCGGACGGGUGAGUAACGCGUGGGUAACCUGCCUUACACUGGGGGAUAACAGUUAGAAAUGACUGCUAAUACCGCAUAAGCGCACAGGGCCGCAUGGUCCGGUGUGAAAAACUCCGGCGGUGUAAGAUGGACCCGCGU
rnacentral:rRNA from 1 species